rnacentral:rRNA from 1 species
UAGGGAAUCUUCCGCAAUGGGCGAAAGCCUGACGGAGCAACGCCGCGUGAGUGAUGAAGGUCUUCGGAUCGUAAAACUCUGUUAUUAGGGAAGAACAAAUGUGUAAGUAACUAUGCACGUCUUGACGGUACCUAAUCAGAAAGCCACGGCUAACUACGUGCCAGCAGCCGCGGUAAUACGUAGGUGGCAAGCGUUAUCCGGAAUUAUUGGGCGUAAAGCGCGCGUAGGCGGUUUUUUAAGUCUGAUGUGAAAGCCCACGGCUCAACCGUGGAGGGUCAUUGGAAACUGGAAAGCUUGAGUGCAGAAGAGGAAAGUGGAAUUACAUGUGUAGCGGUGAAAUGCGCAGAGAUAUGGAGGAACACCAGUGGCGGAGGCGACUUUCUGGUCUGUAACUGACGCUGAUGUGCGAAAGCGUGGGGAUCAAACAGG